rnacentral:rRNA from 1 species
UACAGAGGGUGCAAGCGUUGUUCGGAAUUAUUGGGCGUAAAGGGCGCGUAGGCGGUGCGGUAAGUCUCUAGUGAAAUCUCCGGGCUCAACUCGGAGCCUGCUAGGGAAACUGCCGUGCUUGAGUGUGGGAGAGGCGCGUGGAAUUGCAGGUGUAGCGGUGAAAUGCGUAGAUAUCUGCAGGAACACCCGUGGCGAAAGCGGCGCGCUGGACCACUACUGACGCUGAGGAACGAAAGCUAGGGGAGCAAACAGG